rnacentral:rRNA from 1 species
GACGAACGCUGGCGGCGUGCCUAAUACAUGCAAGUUGAGCGAUGAAGAUUGGUGCUUGCACCAAUUUGAAGAGCAGCGAACGGGUGAGUAACGCGUGGGGAAUCUGCCUUUGAGCGGGGGACAACAUUUGGAAACGAAUGCUAAUACCGCAUAAUAACUUUAAACAUAAGUUUUAAGUUUGAAAGAUGCAAUUGCAUCACUCAAAGAUGAUCCCGCGUUGUAUUAGCUAGUUGGUGAGGUAAAGGCUCACCAAGGCGAUGAUACAUAGCCGACCUGAGAGGGUGAUCGGCCACAUUGGGACUGAGACACGGCCCAAACUCCUACGGGAGGCAGCAGUAGGGAAUCUUCGGCAAUGGACGAAAGUCUGACCGAGCAACGCCGCGUGAGUGAAGGAGGUUUUCGGAUCGUAAAACUCUGUUGGUAGAGAAGAACGUUGGUGAGAGUGGAAAGCUCAUCAAGUGACGGUAACUACCCAGAAAGGGACGGCUAACUACGUG